UACGUAGGGACCAAGCGUUGUUCGGAUUUACUGGGCGUAAAGGGCGCGUAGGCGGCGCGGUAAGUCACUUGUGAAAUCUCUGAGCUUAACUCAGAACGGCCAAGUGAUACUGCAGUGCUAGAGUGUGGAAGGGGCAAUCGGAAUUCUUGGUGUAGCGGUGAAAUGCGUAGAUAUCAAGAGGAACACCUGAGGUGAAGACGGGUUGCUGGGCCAACACUGACGCUGAGGAGCGAAAGCGUGGGGAGCGAACAGG
rnacentral:rRNA from 1 species